GUGUUGUGUUGUCAUGUGGUUUGUUGCACUUACUUACCUUGCAAAAAAAAAUUCAUUUGAUAAAAAUUGUACUUUAAUUUUUUAAAGUAAUUAAAACAUUCUCAUUCAUUAAUAUUUGAUUAAAAAAAUUUUACAAUUAUAAGAGGCAGAUAAUCGAUUGUUCAGUGGCAACUGCGAUAACUCAUCGCAUUAAAGCAAUGGUCACUGGGUGAUUCUCAGUAUUAACUACAAGUUCACUUGUAUAACUUAUAAAAAUAAACUUAACAUGUUCCAUUGUUUACUAGUUCUGAAUGACAAAUUUUCAUUUAUAACAAAUAAAUUUAUUGUAGAUUAGGUUUUCAAUAAAAAGUGUUAUGAAAAAUUGCAUUGAAGUUGAAACAAACAUUAUUGUAAUAUAUAUGAUUUAUAUCAUAUUGGUUCGAUAUGCAAAAAAUAAUUGGAACUUAAUAUUCUACAAUAAAUAUUUAUACAUAUUGAGAAGUCACCCACCUAAGUAAGCGCUACGCAUGAAAGCGGCACUGUACAUCUCUUCAAAAAAACUGAUGAAAAUAGCAAGGAGGCAGUUGAAGGAAGGAAGAAUUUCAGCCCUUUAUACACCCAGCUUUACUGAGAAUGAUUAUAGCGACGUGCUGUGUAUAAAGUGGCAUUAAGGGCUAUUGUUGGUGUAGUCUACAAUGCAUCGGAGAUGCUGUUGAGAACCGUUCUUUGGACAUGUUCAAGCUCAAGUACAACACUAAUCAAAAUACGUAUUGCAAUUACUCUCUAAUUAAAAAAAAAAAA